rnacentral:ncRNA from 1 species
GGUUUGCUGAACCUAAAAUCAGCAGCACGAGGACAUGGCAACGUCCUAAAAAGCCUA